rfam:Harpegnathos saltator strain R22 G/1 HarSal_1.0_1.contig8846, whole genome shotgun sequence.
CAAACCGCUCUUUUCAGAGCCACCCAAAUAUUAACAAACGAACACU